GAUGAACGCUGGCGGCGUGCCUAACACAUGCAAGUCGAACGAAGCACCUUUUAAGAUUCUUCGGAUGAUUGAUUGGUGACUGAGUGGCGGACGGGUGAGUAACGCGUGGGUAACCUGCCCUGUACAGGAGGAUAACAGUUGGAAACGGCCGCCAUUACAGCAUAAGCUCACGAGAGACCAUCCGCUUGUGUGAAAAACUCCGGUGGUACAGGAUGGGCCCGCGUCGGAUUAGCUGGUUGGUAGGGUAACGGCCUACCAAGGCGACGAUCAGUAGCCGGUCUGAGAGGAUGAACGGCCACAUGGGAACUGAGACACGGUCCAAACUCCUACGGGAGGCAGCAGUGGGGAAUAUUGCACAAUGGGGGAAACCCUGAUGCAGCAACGCCGCGUGAGUGAAGAAGUAUUUCGGUAUGUAAAGCUCUAUCAGCAGGGAAGAUAAUGGCGGUACCUGACUAAGAAGCGCCGGCUAAAUACGUGCCAGCCGCCGCCGUAA
rnacentral:rRNA from 1 species